rnacentral:lncRNA from 1 species
AUUUUAAUCGUAAUUUUAUAAUUAACUGCUUUUAAUAACUAAAUCACUCAUCUGUCCUCUUGAAUUUCCUAUUAUAUGAACUAUUAAUAUAUUUUACCAAUAUCUUUUAAAAACGAAUUAAUAUCAUUUCUACAAUUAUCUUAUAGAAUCUCAAGAGUGUCCAUCCAAAAUGAAUUAAGAUAUUAGCUCUCAAUACUUUCAAGUACAUAAAUACUUAUUAGACUUUAAUAAUAUUAAUAUACAAGCUGACUAUGGGCCAUUGAUAAAUCUUUCAAAUUAAGAUACUUACAUGAUUAUCAUGUAAUAUAACAAAAAAAUGAAUAUUAAAAAACUAACUUGAAGUGUUUCAAUUUUUUUUUUUUUUUUU